rnacentral:rRNA from 1 species
GUUAUGUAUAAUAAUAUUUAUAUUAUUUAUACCUCUAACUAGAGCGUACCUUGAGCAUAUAUGCUGUGACCCGAAAGAUGGUGAACUAUACUUGAUCAGGUUGAAGUCAGGGGAAACCCUGAUGGAAGACCGAAACAGUUCUGACGUGCAAAUCGAUUGUCAGAAUUGAGUAUAGGGGCGAAAGACCAAUCGAACCAUCUAGUAGCUGGUUCCCUCCGAAGUUUCCCUCAGGAUAGCUGGUGCAUUUAAAUAUUAUGUAAAAUAAUCUUAUCUGGUAAAGCGAAUGAUUAGAGGCCUUAGGGUCGAAACGACCUUAACCUAUUCUCAAACUUUAAAUGGGUAAGAACCUCACCUUUCUUGGUAUGAAGGUUGUGGUUGUGAUAUAAUGUGCCCAGUGGGCCACUUUUGGUAAGCAGAACUGGCGCUGUGGGAUGAACCAAACGUAAUGUUACGGUGCCCAAAUUAACAACUCAUGCAGAUACCAUGAAAGGCGUUGGUUGCUUAAAACAGCA